AAAAUGUGAAAGAUCAUAACAUAUAGCCCAUGACCUUAGAUUGCUUAGCACAACCAUGAAUUCAUUAUUGAACAAUGAUGAUGAAAUGAUUAUCAUCCAAACUGACAAAAUGAGCACCAGUUCACAUGUACUCCUCAUUACAAUUGGAUGCAGUUAGAUGAUGAUGCAUUUUUAAUUGAAGCUUUUCAUUAACUUUCUGAUUUGAAUUGACAUGAAUAAAACUUCAGAAUUCAAAUUGAAGUCACUCUCCAUGUUCUGACAAAGUGUUGCAUACUAAACUUAUAUGAUGGUGCAUACACAUUACUAAUCUCUGAAAUACACAUAACAGGAGCAUGUCAAAUCACAAAGACAGCAUUUCAUUGAAAAGUAUACAACCUAGUGUGGCAGCCCACAUAAAAUUUCAAGAAUUAUUUAGUGUAUCAAUUUGGAUUUUCUUGUAUUUAGAAGAUCUGUUCUAGAAAGGAAACAGAGGGUUUGUUCUCUAGAAGUUUAUUUUAUUCUCAUUUGAUAUUUAGGGUCUAGGUAAUAUAGUAGCUUAUAGUUUAGUUCAAAUGGUACACUACGGAUUCGGCUAUGAAAUAAAGGUUCUUCUACACACGAAAACCUAGGGUCUUACAUCAACUAGACAAACAAUGUUCAUCAUUAAUGAGGCAAGGAAAGAAAAAGAACUAUUUGUAACAUUAUAUAUAAAAAGGCUAACUAAGCUUA
rnacentral:misc_RNA from 1 species